UCAUGUACCAGAUUCUGCGGAUGCCAUUCCGGGUCCCUACAUCUCGAGAAAGCCAAGUUGAUCCUGCAAAACAUUCUUACAAGGAACUUAUACUCUUACGUCGGGAAUUUACCGAGGCGGAUGUGAUCGAUGUGGAGAAGACAAAGCAGACACUCAUGAACCGUUCCCCGGCGCAGAGUGCCUGGAAACGAGAGUCAAAUUUGGCAGCGAGAAUGGAAAUCCUUUGGCAAAGCAGCAUUUCUACGCAGGGGAAAUAGGGGGGGAUUCAUAACUCUGAGGCCGGAACAGGUCUCUAGAAUGCUUCCAAGAGAGUUCGAGGAUGUCAAAUUUUACGUCAU